rnacentral:rRNA from 1 species
UACGUAGGGUGCAAGCGUUGUCCGGAUUUAUUGGGUUUAAAGGGUGCGUAGGCGGUUAAUUAAGUUAGGGGUGAAAGUUUUCGGCUUAACCGGAAAAUUGCCUUUAAUACUGGUUAGCUAGGAUGCGGUUGAGGUAAGCGGAAUUGGUGGUGUAGCGGUGAAAUGCUUAGAUACCAUCAGGAACACCGAUUGCGAAGGCAGCUUACUAAGCCGUUAUUGACGCUGAGGCACGAAAGCGUGGGGAUCAAACAGG